AGACUUUAGUAGCCACCUACAUUGUUUGAUUUCUGUGCCCAGGCUGAUAGCAAGAGUGAGAGGUCCUCCAGGAGCCAGAGACACACAGAAGACGCUAGGAGAUCGGCUCCAAAAGUCAAGUUCUCUAAAACUAUUACCGAGUUUCCAUACUACAGUCGCUAUGACAACCCGACAGAGAUGAAAUCAGCAUCAAUCCCAGGUCAAAGUCCGUCCCAUAGUCACCUUGGCAAGUUGGAUGGGGACUCGCUGAGGGUCAAAGGUGAAAGCUCGGAACACAUCAGAAAAAAAUUAAUUAUUAUUAGCAUACAAACUGUUCAUUAUUUUUAUUGCUUAUACUCAAGAUUUGUAUGUUACUAAUGAUAGUAUCAUUUGCCAUAUGCACAGUGUGUAAUGUAGGCCCUGAUAAAUUAUGCUCGGAAUAAUUUUUAGCAUAAUUAGAAGAUAAAUAUCCUCAAUGUCCAUUUUUGGUAAAGAUCAUUACAUUAAAUUUUGCAUAACGACA